CGGACGAACGCUGGCGGCGUGCUUAACACAUGCAAGUCGAACGGAUCACAUGAUUUCGGUUGUGUGGUGAGUGGCGAACGGGUGAGUAACACGUGAGUAAUCUGGCCCAGACUCUGGGAUAACGGCUCGAAAGGGCUGCUAAUACCGGAUGUUGAACUGUCAUCGCAUGGUGGUGGUUUGAAAGUUCCGGCGGUCUGGGAUGGGCUCGCGGCCUAUCAGCUUGAUGGUGGGGUAAUGGCCUACCAUGGCGUCGACGGGUAGCCGGCCUGAGAGGGCGACCGGCCACACUGGGACUGAGAUACGGCCCAGACUCCUACGGGAGGCAGCAGUGGGGAAUAUUGCACAAUGGGCGCAAGCCUGAUGCAGCAACGCCGCGUGCGGGAUGAAGGCCUUCGGGUUGUAAACCGCUUUCACCAGGGACGAAGGGUUUUCUUGACGGUACCUGGAGAAGAAGCACCGGCUAACUACGUG
rnacentral:rRNA from 1 species